CUCUCCACAGGAGAAGGCCAACCGCCACCCUCUCGCCUUUCAGCCAUUCGGAAUGGGUGCUCGCAACUGCGUUGGGUCGAGACUCGCCCUGCUCGAGGUUACUCUCAUCGUUGCCAGACUACUGCAUCGUUACCGGCUGCAUUUAGGAUCCAGGCAUGCAAACGGCGAACUGGAACGCAAGACGCAAUCCAUCGUAGCUUCGCCAACGGAAGGUGUCUGGAUUCGCAUUGAGAAGAUACUCUAGUGUAGCUCGUAGUCAACCCCGAUGAUUAAGCAGCAAUGAUAAGCAAAAAAAAAAGCUGGCCUGCAGUGACUCGAAGUUGUCAUUAGCAAGCACCAUACCACGGUAUCUAAGGUACCUACAUCGUCAAUGUGAUCACUUCGAUAUGUUUUUUUUUUUUAGUUUCAGAGGAUAGCUUU
rnacentral:lncRNA from 1 species